rnacentral:rRNA from 1 species
GCACAGAGUUAGCCGGUGCUUAUUCUGUCGGUAACGUCAAAACACUAACGUAUUAAGUUACUGCCCUUCCUCCCAACUUAAAGUGCUUUACAAUCCGAAGACCUUCUUCACACACGCGGCAUGGCUGGAUCAGGCUUUCGCCCAUUGUCCAAUAUUCCCCA